UCUCCGUUGGUGAACCAGCGGAGGGAUCAUUACUGGAAUCGCAAGAUCCCACAACCCUGUGAACCUACCGAAACGUUGCCUCGGCGGGUGCCCGGCCUCUACGCCGGGCGCUGCGCCCGCCGGCGGCCCCCUACUCUGUCUCUGCAGCGUGGCAUCUCAGAGUCCCAGAAAACAAGUCAAAACUUUCAACAACGGAUCUCUUGGCUCUAGCAUCGAUGAAGAACGAGC
rnacentral:misc_RNA from 1 species